rnacentral:rRNA from 1 species
GUAGGGAAUAUUGGACAAUGGGGGCAACCCUGAUCCAGCGACGCCGCGUGAGUGACGAAGGCCUUCGGGUCGUAAAGCUCUGUUGCAAGGGAAAAACAAAAUGAUGGUACCUUGCUAGAAAGGAUCGGCUAACUUCGUGCCAGCAGCCGCGGUAAGACGAGGGAUCCUAGCGUUGUUCGGAAUUAUUGGGCGUAAAGCGGGUGUAGGUGGCUUUGUAAGUCAGGUGUGAAAGCCUGGGGCUUAACCCCAGAAGUGCAUUUGAUACUGCGAAGCUUGAGUGCUGGAGAGGCUACUAGAAUUCUUGGUGUAGUGGUGAAAUACGUAGAUAUCAAGAGGAAUACCGGAGGCGAAGGCGGGUAGCUGGCCAGACACUGACACUCAGACCCGAAAGCGUGGGGAUCAAACAGGAUUAGAUACCCCAGUAGUCC